UUUUUUCUUUUUUCUUUUAGAAAGUCUAUGUCUCAAAAAAGUUUUUAACUAUUCGUCUCAAGAUGAAUUUAACCAACGAUGCGAGCGAACACAAAAAAAAACGAUGCGAGCGAGCGUGGCCGCCUCUCGUCUUUCCGAUGAUAGGAAGCUGUUUCGUGUUCUCCCAACUAUACAGAGUGGAAUGCAAUCAUCUUUGAACUUUUCUCAAAGCAACAGUUGGAUUGGCUCUACGUGGAGAAAUUCUGGGAAUCUUUAGGAUUUUGUUGCAGUAUAAGAAAUAAAAGCUGAUUCAAGAAGAAUAUACGAGAGAUCGGAGAAAAUUUUGGACAUAUAUGCUCUACAUUAUACUUGGCGAAGGUUGAAGACGAUGGAUGACAAAAGUGAUGCAAAACGUGUGACAAUUAGAAAGUGAAAUAAUUAUUUACUUUAUAGUAGUCCUUAACAAUUAGGGACAUUUUAACACAUUCUUAGCAACAGAGCCGUUUAAAAUCUACACCAAAAAUUAGGACCUUGAUCUUUGAUGCUGAAAAUCUACACCAUUUAAGUGGUGAAUG